ensembl:snRNA
GUGCUGUAUGAAAGGAAGACGGUUGGAACUCCCUUUGACAAGGAUGGAAGAGGCUCUUGUCCCUAGCAACAUCAUACGGUGGAAUCUAACCAUCUUGAUGGUGGGAGUGCAAACUUGUUC